UAUUUGCUUGGAGAAAGACUGGGAUAUGAGCCAAGAGGAAGCAGCAGUACCUGAAAUACACACUUCCAGGAUAAGCCUUCCUCGUCUUUCCUUCUAAAUCUUUACUCCAAAGCAUUUGGUUUAAGCCAGACAAGUUUACGGUUUUGCUGCAUUUCAGGGUGACAGCGCCCUCCCUCCUGCACGUGACGGGCCCGACAGCCGCGGUCUGCCGACACCGGGGGUGGUUUCCCCUCUCUGCUGUUGAUCUUGGGCUUGUGUUGCACAGACACUAGAGAGCCUGCCAGCGCCAGACGUGGAGAGCCUGCACACAUGCUCCUUACCAGGAGAUACAGACAAAUUUAUCAGGACUCCUGUUAACAAUGUGGGAAAAGACCUGAAAUAGAUUAAUCUUUGGGAUGCCGUGCGCAGCGGUAGAGCAUGUGAACCGUAUACAGAGGCCUCAGUCCUCGAUACAGCCGUCCCAGGUUUGAGUCCUGACCCUGGAGACCUAUGCUGCCUGCCGUCCCCCUCUCUCCACCCCACUUCCUGUCUGCCGAUUUUGAAAAAAUAACAAAAAUAAAGGCCAUUAGUGCCGCAAAAAGAUCCUUUAUUAAAAGAAAAUUAUUGUUUUUAACAAAAUCACUUGUAACCCAUGUUUUCGUACCUUUGCUGUCAAUGCUAUGUACACCCCCCCUACCCCCCGUAGUUUUCUCCUACAACAUUUCAGAAGGUUGGAACACAUAUAUACGGCGAUAUUUAAUCUUUGUAGCCUCUCUCUAGGUCAUCCAGAGUCCUGGUUCCACUUUUAUAUCCCCCUCUGUUCCACUCACCCCACCGGUCUUCUACAUUAGUUAAAUGGGGAGAUUGAGAUGGCCAUGGAAGAAGGUUAAGUUUGGGUCUGGGGAUCCAUUUCUGUGUUAAUUUAAGAUAAAAUAUGUAAUUCCUGACUAAAUAAAUAGCAGUUCAUGCAGUUGCAGCAGGUUAUGACCCUCUGUCUAUGUCAGGGAUCCACAACCUGCAUGCUCUAGAGCCCCGCAUGGCUCUUUAGGCUCUUCAAAGUGGCUCUUAAUAACUUUGGUCAAAAAAGAUAUAGAUAUUAAUAUUAAUAUAACCAUAGAAUAAACAUAUUUUUUUGUAGUAGGUAUUUAUAAAACCUUAUUAGCAUCUUUUUUAUGCAGGUCUAGACUUUUAUUUGAUACAAGCAAGGGAAAAUAUGACUGUAUAUGCUGUAAAGGACCUAUACCUCUGGUAUAGGUCCUUUAAGUGAAGCUUUUUGUAGUUUUUUUUUCUACUUUCUACUGCUGUAAAAAGAAGUCAUAAUAACGUGAGUUUGUUGGAAAAGUAAGUAAAUGCUCAGAAUGGUGGAAGUUAAGUCAACCAUGCUGUAUAAAUGUACUUUACUUGAUUUGGUGAAUCAGCUGAUAAUGAGUCCAUCGGGCUAACUAGGAAAGAACAGGAACAUACAAUCUCCAGUGCUCCUGCACAGCUGACACAAAAUCCAAAGGUUUACUCCCGUUCUUGAGUGGACUGCCGAGCUGCAGUCGAUCCGGUGGGUUGAUAUAGCUAUGGAGGUUAUUCAGCUGAAGUAAAUGGCACCAAAUUUGACAACAGUCUCUUAAGAAAUUCUAGACUCUUAAUAUUGGUUAACAUUGUCUUUCGUCCCACUGAUACGUAGAUUUUAUUGAGUUGUUUUAAACAGCUGAAGUCAGCUGAAACAGACAGAAAUCCCAAAUCACCCAUUAAUAGUGGGUAUGAGAUGUAUUCACCCUUUGUUUCACAUCAAACUCUGUGUUUGUUAAACUUCACAUAUUGAUGUUUGAGAUGGCAGGACAGAAAAUCCUUUUUUUGUAGUCACUUUUACAGAAAUUAUUAAAAGUUGCUACAAGUUUUGUUCAAAAAUAAAGCAUACAUUUUAAAAACA